rnacentral:lncRNA from 1 species
AUGAGCAGCGGGGGCAGCCGCCGGGACCAUCCCCCUAUCGGGGUGACCCUUACAGACGGCCCUUGGCGCCAGCCCCUCACCCCCACCUGGGAGGACUCCGUCCCAGCUCGGGUGGCUUGGAGCUGGGGGCUGCAGGGCGGGGGCUGUCCCGUGGGGCCGUUCCUCUCCGUCUCCCCCUGCUUCAGUGUCCUGCACGCUCAGAGCCCCUUCUCCGCCCCACUCUCCUCGCCACCCAGGCCUCCAGGGGCUCUGGUCGCCCUGCUCCCUCCAGCUGUAAGCAUCCUGGAGCCCUGGCUGAGCGCCACCCGGCUGUCCGCAGGGUCUCCGUCCUGCCCAGCCCCGGCUCUGCCCCCCACGCCCUUCCAGGCCCCUGGCCUCCCCCGACCUCCCUGCUCUGGGCCAGACGGGGCGGCCAGGCCUCACCUGUGGGCCUUGGGGAGGUGGGACCUGCCCAGGCUCCAGGUCCAAAGAGCUGCGUGUCUGUGCUUUGCUGGGUCAAUGGCCAGCGCUUGGCUCCGAAUCUCAGGGGUCCCGGAGGCAAGCCCUGCGCCUGGGGCACAGGUGCGGGUGCAGCUAAGGGGUGGCACCUGCGUGUGGAGGAGGCCGGGCAGUUCCAGGAGCUGGAGAUCCCGGGCACACUCACCGCACGUCAGCCCGCUGUGGCAGAGCCGCCGCUCACACUCGUGGGCACUCUUCUCACACCCCCCAGAACCUGUGUUUCUCUCUCUCUCUCUCACACACACACACACACGUCAGCAGCUUGGCCACGUGACCACAUACAGGUCACGGGGGCUCUGCAGACCCUGGAGCCCUGGAGACACAUGUGCAAAGGCACUUGGGCCACUGGAUGCGCCACCGGGCGGUCGCAGUGACGGUGACUCAGGGGCGCCGACUCUUGGGGGUAAGCCGCUCUGCUCACACACGUGCACACACAUGGGCAGGCACAGGCGGCACAGACACACGCGUGCACACAGACACGGCCAGAGGUCCACAGGCCGAGGCGAGCCUCAGCGCUGGGGUCUGCCCAGAGACCCUCCUCCCGGCCCGGCCCCGCGCCUCAGCCCCCUCCCCACUUCCUAG